GACGAACGCUGGCGGCGUGCCUAAUACAUGCAAGUCGAACGCAGUGGGGACGGGUGAGUAACACGUGGCUAACCUCCCAUCAGAGGGGAUAACACUUGGAAGUAGGUGCUAAACCGAUACUGAUGGAUGAACCCGCGGUGCAUGAGAUAGUUGGUGAGGUAACGGCGCACCAAGGCCACGAUGCAUAGGCGGCCUGAGGGGGUGAGCGGCCACACUGUGACUGAGACACGGCCAAUACUCCUACGGGAGGCAGCAGUAGGGAAUCUUCGGCAAUGGACGAAAGUCUGACCGAGCAACGCCGCGUGAGUGAAGAAGGUUUUCGGAUCGUAAGACUCUGUUGUUAGAGAAGCGGUAUCUAACCAGAAAGCCACGGCUAACUACGUGCCAGCAGCCGCGGUAAUAC
rnacentral:rRNA from 1 species